rnacentral:rRNA from 1 species
UACAGAGGUCCCAAGCGUUGUUCGGAUUUACUGGGCGUAAAGGGUGCGUAGGUGGUUGGGUAAGUCUGAUGUGAAAUCUCCGGGCUUAACCCGGAAAUGGCAUUGGAUACUAUUCGACUAGAGGGUUGGAGGGGGGACUGGAAUACUUGGUGUAGCAGUGAAAUGCGUAGAUAUCAAGUGGAACACCAGUGGCGAAGGCGAGUCUCUGGACAUUUCCUGACGCUGAGGCACGAAAGCCAGGGGAGCAAACGGG